GUGUGAAUAUAUUUUUAACAACUAAUUUUUGUAUUGCUUAAUGAUUAUAACAUGAUUAUAUUAUUUUUUAAAUAACAUGAUUAUAACACCGAUAAUUUAAACUAUAAAUGGUGAUGCAAGACAUUUAUGGAUCUUCUAACUUCUUUUCCUUAGUUUGGAAAUGUCAGCCCUGUGGUGAUGGCUGGCAGCAGCACGGGAAGCACUGCUACUCUUUCUCUAGAGAGCAGAUUCCGUGGAGCAGUUGUGAACUUCACUGUUCUCCUUUACGUUCAAGUUUUCUUAAGAUAAGCACGGAAGGAGAGAUGGAGUUUGUAAAAAGAAUGUCAAAGAAGCAGUGUUUUUUGUAUGAGGACAAGUUCGGGUUCAGUUUAUACUACAAUAGCAGCCAAAUGAAAUGGGUGUGGCUAGAUGGUUCAGCUUUUAUUCUGGACAAGCUUCAGUUAAAGAGACCUAACACACCCAAUAAUCAAUGCAAGUAUAUUAAAAAUGGCCAGCUAAUUGAUGGGAGCUGUCAAGAGAACAGUCAUUGUAUAUGUAAGAAGACAGCAUAUGGAGAUUAA
ensembl:lncRNA